rnacentral:hammerhead_ribozyme from 1 species
AUUCAGCUGACGAGUCUUAACCAAAACGAAACGCUCGUUCAGAAU